rnacentral:rRNA from 1 species
AGGACGAACGCUGGCGGCGUGCUUAACACAUGCAAGUCGAACGAGGCCCUACCUUCGGGUAGGUGACCUAGUGGCGAACGGGUGAGUAACACGUGGGCAACCUACCCUCAGCUCUGGGAUAACCCCGGGAAACCGGAGCUAAUACCGGAUAUGACCUUGAGUGACAUCGCUCUUGGUGGAAAGUUUUUCGGCUGAGGAUGGGCCCGCGGCCUAUCAGCUUGUUGGUGGGGUAAUGGCCCACCAAGGCGACGACGGGUA